rnacentral:rRNA from 1 species
UACGUAGGCAGCGAGCGUUGUUCGGAGUUACUGGGCGUAAAGGGUGUGUAGGCGGUCUUUUAAGUUUGGUGUGAAAUCUCCCGCUUAACCGGGAGGGUGCGCCGAAUACUGAGGGACUAGAGUGCGGGAGAGGAAAGUGGAAUUCCUGGUGUAGCGGUGAAAUGCGUAGAUAUGUGGAGGAACACCGGUGGCGAAGGCGGCCUGCUGGGCAGUAGCUGACGCUGAUGCGCGACAGCGUGGGGAGCAAACAGG